UACGUAGGGUGCGAGCGUUUGUCCGGAAUUAUUGGGCGUAAAGAGCUCGUAGGCGGUGUGUCGCGUCGGCCGUGAAACCUGCAGCUUAACUGUGGGCUUGCGGUCGAUACGGGCAUCACUGGAGUUCGGCAGGGGAGACUGGAAUUCCUGGUGUAGCGGUGAAAUGCGCAGAUAUCAGGAGGAACACCGAUGGCGAAGGCAGGUCUCUGGGCCGAUACUGACGCUGAGGAGCGAAAGCGUGGGGAGCGAACAGG
rnacentral:rRNA from 1 species